UGCAGUGGUGGUGGUAGGAAGAUGCAGGGCGAGGACGAGCAGCAGGAGCUAACUAACGCUGAAGACCUGGUCAUGACCAAGUAUAAGAUGGGGGGUAACAUCGCCAAGCGGGUACUUCGGUCCCUGGUGGAAGCAUCUAGCUCAAGUGUAUCAGUACUGAGCCUGUGUGAGAAAGGUGAUGCCAUGAUUACGGAAGAAACAGGGAAAAUCUUCAAGAAAGAAAAGGAAAUGAAGAAAGGCAUUGCUUUCCCACCAGCAUUUCAGUAAAUAACUAUGUGUGUCGCUUCUGUCCCUUGAAGAGUGGCCAGGAUUAUAUUCUCAAGAAAGGUGACCUGGUAAAAAUUGACUUUGGGUCCGUAUGGAUGACUUCAUCACUAAUGUAGCUCAUACUUUUGUGAUUGAUGUAACUCAGGGGACUCAAGUAACAGGGAGGAAAGCAGAUGUUAUUAAGGCAGCUCACCUUUGUGCUGAAGCUGCCCAAUGCCUGGUCAAACCUGGAAAUCAGAACAUGCAAGUGACAGAAGCCUGGAACAAAGUUGCCCACUCAUUUAACUAUAUGCCAAUAGAAGGUAUACUGUCACACCUGUUGAAGCAGCAUGUCAUCGAUGGAGGAAAAAAACAUUAUCAAGAAUCCCACAGACCAGCAGAAGGAGGACCAUGAAAAAGCUGAAUUUGAGGUAUAUGAAGUACAUGCUGUGGAUGUUCUUGUCAGCUCAGGAGAGGGCAGGGCCAAGGAUGCAGGACAGAGAACCACUGUUUCCAAACGAGACCCCUCUAAACAGUAUGGACUGAGAAUGAAAACUUCACGUGCCUUCUUCAGUGGAUGGAAAGGAGUUUUAAUGCCAUGCCGGUUACUUUAGGAACCUUUGAAGACGAGAAGAAGGCUCAAUGGGUGUGGUGGAGUGUGCCAAACACGAACUGCGGUAACCAUUUAAUGUUCUCUAUGAGAAGGAGGGUGAAUUUGUUGCCCCGUUUAAAUGUACAGUUCUGCUCAUGCCCAAUGCCCCCAUGUGGAUAACCAGUGGUCCCCUGGAGCCUGACCUCUACAAGUCUGAGAUGGAGGUCCAGGAUGCAGAGCUAAAGGCCCUCAUCUAGAGUUCUGCAAGUCAAAAAACCCAGAGGAAAAAAAAAAGAAGAAGAAGGCCUCCAAGACUGCAGAGAAUGCCACCAGUGGGGAAACAUUAGAAGAAAAUGAAGCUGGGGACUGAGGUGGGUCCAUCUCCCCAGCUUGCUGCUCCUGCCUCAUCCCCUUCCCACCACACCCCAGACUCUAUGAAGUGCAGUUCUUCUCCACCUAGGAUUGCCAGCAGAGCAGGGGUCCCCCUGCCCACACCCCAGUUCCCCAACCCACUCCCUUCCAACAACAACCAGCUCCAACUGCCUCUGGUCUUGGGAGGCGAGGCUUCCCAACCACGGAAGACUACUUUAAAUGAAAAAAAGAAAUUGAAUAAUAAAAUCAGGAGUCAAAAUU